GGACCCGUAGCGAAGAGGAUAUCGCAGCGCUCUCCUAAGGCGCAGGUCGUGGGUUCAAAUCCCACCGGGUCCG
rnacentral:tRNA from 1 species